rnacentral:rRNA from 1 species
UACGUAGGGGGCAAGCGUUGUCCGGAUUUAUUGGGCGUAAAGAGCGUGUAGGCGGUUUGGUAGGUCCGCUGUGAAAACUCGAGGCUCAACCUCGAGACGCCGGUGGAAACCAUCAGACUAGAGUCCGGAAGAGGAGAGUGGAAUUCCGUGGUGUAGCGGUGAAAUGCGCAGAUAUCAGGAAGAACACCCGUGGCUAAGGCGGCUCUCUAGUACGGUACUGACGCUGAGACGCGAAAGCGUGGGGAGCGAACAGG